GAACAGAUAUUUAGUACUGAGGAAUGGAAAUAAAUAAUUAGGAAAAAUAAAAAAAAGUUAAAGUUUAAAACCAAAGUCGACAAUUAAACAUGAGGAUGACUGGCCUGUGUUUAAGAAGAGUUCAGUACUACACUUAUUGUAGUAGAAAUAUUUUAUUUCUGCAUCCCAAAUGAUACAGCCCAUGUACACUUGAUCAGUUCUGAACUGCUAGUUGUUUGGGGAAUUCUCAUAAGUGAAGGUAACACACUUAGAGAACUCUUAAUACAUUGUUUCUUGAGUAGCUUCACAUAUACAUUUUGAAUCCUGAGAUGAGAUAGGAACCAAAACAUCUUGCACUUGCUCUAACAUGGAAGCUUAUCUCUACAAUCCGAACAUACUAGCAAUAUGUUUUUGUCAAGUUCUUAGGUCAAUCUUGUAGAAACAUCUAUUGUCUACUAAACCAGCUACAUUCCUACUAUAACUCUUCAGUUGGCUUUAGCUGAAAGCAUGGAUAGAAUCACAGAAUGGUUUAGGUUGGAAGGGACCUUAAAGAUCAUCUAGCUCCAAACCCUCUGCCAUGGGCAGGGACACCUUCCACUACUCCAGGUUGCUCAAAGCCCUGUCCAGACUGGUCUUGAUGACUGGUCACCUCUAGGGAUGGGGAGUCCACAACCUCUUUGGACAACUUACCCCAGUGCCUCACCACCCUCAAUCUUCCUAAUAUCAAUCUAGCCUACUCUCUUUCAGCUUAAGUCCACUUCCCUUUGUCCUAUCACUACAUGGCCUUCUUAAAAGUCCGUCUUGAGCUCUUCCCUUUACAUACUGGAAAGCCACAAUAAUGUCUUCCUGGAAUCUCUUCCAGGCUGAACAACCCUGUCUCUCUCAGCCUGUCUUCACAGGACAGGUGCUGCCAUCCCGUGAUCAGAGCCACUGUGAUUAGUGGCCUCCUCUGGACUAGUUCCAACAGGUCCAUGUAUUUAAGCUGGGGAGCCCGAGACCUGGAUGCAUUAUUACAGGUGGGGUCUCACCAGAGCAGGGGCACAGAAUCCCCUUCCUUGACCUGCUGGUCUCACCUCUUCUGAUGCAGCCCAGGUGGCUGAGUUUCUGAGCUGCAAACACAUGAUGCUGGUUCAUAUUCAGCUUUUUAAAAAACCACAAACAUGCCCAAGUCCUUCUCCCCAGGGCUAGUCUCGACCCAUUCUCCACGCAGACUAUAUUUGUGCCUAGGAUUGCCUCAAUCCAGGUGCAGGACCUUGUACUUGGCCUUGUUGAACUUCAUGACGUUUGCAGAAGCUGCUGUUCUCCUACUUAGUGUGAUGAGAAACAUACAUCUAAUAUUAGCAUAAUUGGGAUGGGACCAAAGCAUUGGCAAAAGAAACAAACACGCUGAUUCACAGCAAAAAGGCCAUAAGAGCAUUACAGUCCUAACACAGAGUUAGGAGCAAUUGCUAGCAAAAGAGGUCAGGGAAACAGAAGUAUUUGGGGCAGGAAAAAUAUAAGAAAUAACAGGACUCCCAUUUAUAAUCAUGUGACACUUAAACUGCCUUUUGUUUCGUGUUUAUAGCUCCCCCAUAUAAAGAUGGAGAGUUUGCCUAUCUGUACUACACAGAUUUCUUCAGACAUUUGUGAUUUUCAGAGACUUAAAUGUUUCCAGCAAUACUGUAAGGUCUCAAUACAAAACUUAGGCUUCCUGACAGACAUACUGUACUCGAUUAUCUCACACAGAUGUGCUAGAUGUAUGCCAGAGACUUUCAGGGAGCUGCACUCCAUAGGAUAAAAACCACUAUAAAAUAAAAUCUCAACUUGCAUCAUGUACAAUUUAUGAGACAUUAAAUACAGCUGCUAUAUGUUCAAAUAGCACUGAAUGUUAGAAAAUGACAGCAAGUGUAGCUUUUAAACUUUCUUUUCAUUUGGUUUUUCUUUUUCUUAUUUUGAUUCAAGAUGAGCUAAACCACAAUAAAAACAGAGCAAAGAUUUUAAGUAAAACACGUUAAUGGUGACAAAAAUGGCAGUCACAGAACAAUCAUAGAGUCAUAGAAUAUCCUGAGUCAGACGGGACCUACAAGUGUGACUGAAGUCCAACAAGUAUACAAAUCUAGAUGGGAAAAGUAUGACUUUGAGAUGAACGCCCAAGUUCCUAUUUCCCUCAGCUGCAAGACUAAGAGUAAAAUGCAAAGCGUAAGAGGUGUGAAGUUAAUGCUGUUGCUUUGCAUAAUGGUAGAAGAUGCUAAUCAUCACCAGGAUUCUAUAUGGGAAUUAAUGCCAUCAAGUCAAGGACGAAAUCUCAGUGUAUUUAUGAUCAAGCCAUUUUACACCGUUCACUUUUUUUUUCUGGCUACCUCAGAAAAGAAAGCUGCUGGAGGGAAGAGAGUGUUCUGCAGAAACAUUUAGAGGAUACGCUGUUUCCCUCACGGGUGUCUGAGAUUGCGAUCCUCUGGGAAUAGCGAAAAGACUCGGAGGAAAAGACGGGUGUUGUUGGAACUGCGCCUGCCGUCGGGCGGAGCUGCAGAACUGAUACAUACUGGGCACGAGUGGGGUCUCAAAUUGGAGAAACCGACCCUGCAUCCAGCACAUUACCCACCAGCUGGUUGCGCGGGAUCCGAGCUGCACGGACGCCCGAGGGUCACGCCAAAGGGAAGGGAAACAGGAGCGGGAAGGCUUCUCCGCCGGGCAGGGACCGGCAUCGCCCGGCACCGGCUGUACCGGCACCCGCCGUGGGGGCCGCCCGCUCUGCCCCAGCGCUCACCUGUAGGCGCUAAGGAGCGCCUUGUUGACCAGCACGUUCAAGUGAGGGAAAGAAGCUUCCCUUCUCAUCUGAAUUUCCUGACUUCACAUGAGAGGAAGAAGUUAAAGCAAGCAGUCAUCAAGAAAGAGUUCUCCAUGCAAACUGUAACCAGAAGAACAAAGGUAGCAGGUGUCUCCUUCCUCAAGUGGAUCUGACUGCACCCAAUACACAAAGGUAUGCCAUGCCACCACCCUCAGGAAGGCAACAAAAUGAGGGUGAGUCUGGCUCACUAAUUCAGAGGAAUGACAGGAUAAGCUCUACUCAGUUAAGUAGUUUUUACAAGUUCAACACGUUGUAGGACAGAGUGAAAUAACACAUUUUGACCAAAACAUGAGGAAUGCUGCUGUUUAAUAUCAUUAUCUAGGUUAGUCAUAGUGACCUGAGUCAGAAGGAGAUGGUGAGAGCCAAGGCUUUUGUGGGAUUUUGUUUGGUUGGUUUGCAGGCAGUGCUGGUGGUUGUGUCUGUAUUGUGAGCUACAUUUGUUCAUGUUUUAUGGCAAACACGGUGUUCUGUUGAAGAAAUAAAAUGUAUUUGCUUGUUUUAAAAAAAAACCAAACAGCAUCUUCAGUUUAAGCUCAGCUGAGUAUUGAGUGAGUUCAUCAUACAUUUAAACUUAACUGCAAAUCACACUCUAAAUACAGUUCAGUAAGUUAGCAUGAUCUCCUCCACCCCAGAAAAUUAAUUUUACGUGGUGGGAAAAAACAACUGGGUGGUGAUUUUAAGCAUGUGGACUCUUCUCUUAAACUUUAAGCACACUUUCUAGGAUGUGACAAUCCUGAAGUUGCCAGCCACUUUUAAAGUUACUGAAACCUCUUACAGCAAAACUUCAAUUGUGAUGUGAAAAAUCAGAAAAGAGAAAACAAAUCACAAAGAAGAGGCAAUCAGGAUACAAAGUGCUACCAAGCUCAAGUACAGAGCACCAAGCCCAAGACUAGUUCUCUUUUUUACAAAGUGAGUCUGUGACAUCGACAGAUAAAAUGUUUGCACAAUUUGACUAUACUAUUAUAGCCCAAAUUACUGCUACACUUCCCCAUGACAAAUAUGGUUACAAAGACUUUGACUGACUAACAAGUACUCGGAGCAAAGUAUGAUUAAUCUAGCAGUUACAAUAAAAUCAUAACAGGUCAAGUUCUUUGGGGUUCCUUUAUGUUUGUUUGGGGGCGCUUAACUCCUUUAUUCUGCUUCCUAAGUGGGUCUCCCCAGC